CACGUAGGGGACGAGCGUUGUCCGGAUUCAUUGGGCGUAAAGCGCGCGUAGGCGGCUCGGAAAGUCGGUCGUGAAAUGCCGGGGCUCAACCCCGGGACUGCGUCCGAUACUUCCGGGCUGGAGGUAGGUAGGGGAGAUCGGAAUUCCUGGUGUAGCGGUGAAAUGCGCAGAUAUCAGGAGGAACACCGGUGGCGAAGGCGGCUACCUGGCCCACUCUUGACGCUGAGGCGCGAAAGCUAGGGAGCAAACAGG
rnacentral:rRNA from 1 species